GACGAACGCUGGCGGCGUGCCUAAUACAUGCAAGUAGAACGCUGAAGGAGGAGCUUGCUUCUCUGGAUGAGUUGCGAACGGGUGAGUAACGCGUAGGUAACCUGCCUGGUAGCGGGGGAUAACUAUUGGAAACGAUAGCUAGUACCGCAUAAUAUUGACUAUUGCAUGAUAGUCAGUUGAAAGGUGCAACUGCACCACUACCAGAUGGACCUGCGUUGUAUUAGCUAGUUGGUGGGGUAACGGCUCACCAAGGCGACGAUACAUAGCCGACCUGAGAGGGUGAUCGGCCACACUGGGACUGAGACACGGCCCAGACUCCUACGGGAGGCAGCAGUAGGGAAUCUUCGGCAAUGGACGGAAGUCUGACCGAGCAACGCCGCGUGAGUGAAGAAGGUUUUCGGAUCGUAAAGCUCGGUUGUAAGAGAAGAACGAGUGUGAGAGUGGAAAGCUCACACUGUGACGGUAUCUUACCAGAAAGGGACGGCUAACUACGUG
rnacentral:rRNA from 1 species